UGCGUAGGUGGCGAGGUAAGUCGGAUGUGAAAGCUCGGAGCUCAACUCCGAAAUGGCAUUGGAAACUACCUUGCUCGAGGGUUGGAGGGGGGACUGGAAUGCUUGGUGUAGCAGUGAAAUGCGUAGAUAUCAAGCGGAACACCAGUGGCGAAGGCGAGUCCCUGGACAACUCCUGACACUGAGGCACGAAAGCUAGGGAGCAAAACA
rnacentral:rRNA from 1 species